UUUUCCAGUUCUCCCUUAACACCCAACGCAUCCUUCCUCUCUCAUUUGCUCCAGUUUUCUCCUCUCCUCUUCCACAUGUGCAUUCAUGAUAUGAAAAAACAUUUUGAUGAGAGUGUUCUAUCAAAAUUGCCUAAUAGUUAAUCAAGAAAUUUUGAGGCAAUCUAUAACAAGUGAAGAGGAGACAUGGAGAGGAGCCUUUUGAGAUGGAGGCCAAUGUAUUACACAUUAUUCGCUACAAGCCCAUAAAAUCACUUGUAGAGAGAGGGAGUGUCAUCGAUUUGCUGUAGACAAUCUCGACGGUCCUUGGCAGCUAUCAACAUCGGUGAUGGAGACUAUUCCACUGAUUACUUUGGAGGACAAUUUCAAAUUGGUUGAGCUCAUAGAUGAAUGGUGGAGCAUUGAAGGCACUGGCAAAGACAGGUCAGCCAUUUCAAUCUGAUAUCUCAUGUUAUUAAAUUAUGAAUGUGACAUUAUAGUGUAGAUUGUCAAUGACAAUUGACAAAUCCAACCGUAGCCAUUAGUUUAUACAUCAAUUAGAAGUAUCGUAUGCUUUAGAUUUAUUUUAAGUUUGAAAUUGAUAUAAAUACUAAAUUAAUAAAAAUACUUUUAAAGUUUGU